GGGUUGUGAGGUUAAGCGACUAAGCGUACACGGUGGAUGCCCUGGCAGUCAGAGGCGAUGAAGGACGUGCUAAUCUGCGAAAAGCGCCGGCGAGGUGAUAUGAACCCUUGACCCGGCGAUGUCCGAAUGGGGAAACCCAGUGCAAUUCGUUGCACUAUCGUUAACUGAAUACAUAGGUUAACGAGGCGAACCGGGGGAACUGAAACAUCUAAGUACCCCGAGGAAAAGAAAUCAACCGAGAUUCCCCCAGUAGCGGCGAGCGAACGGGGAGCAGCCCGGAGUCUGAAUCAGCUUGUGUGUUAGUGGAACGGUCUGGAAAGUCCGACGGUACAGGGUGAUAGUCCCGUACACGAAAGCACACAUGCUGUGAACUCGAAGAGUAGGGCGGGACACGUGGUAUCCUGUCUGAAUAUGGGGGGACCAUCCUCCAAGGCUAAAUACUCCUGACUGACCGAUAGUGAACCAGUACCGUGAGGGAAAGGCGAAAAGAACCCCGGCGAGGGGAGUGAAAAAGAACCUGAAACCGUGUACGUACAAGCAGUGGGAGCCUCUUUUAUGGGGUGACUGCGUACCUUUUGUAUAAUGGGUCAGCGACUUAUAUUCUGUAGCAAGGUUAACCGUAUAGGGGAGCCGAAGGGAAACCGAGUCUUAACUGGGCGUUAAGUUGCAGGGUAUAGACCCGAAACCCGGUGAUCUAGCCAUGGGCAGGUUGAAGGUUGGGUAACACUAACUGGAGGACCGAACCGACUAAUGUUGAAAAAUUAGCGGAUGACCUGUGGCUGGGGGUGAAAGGCCAAUCAAACCGGGAGAUAGCUGGUUCUCCCCGAAAGCUAUUUAGGUAGCGCCUCGUGAACUCAUCUUCGGGGGUAGAGCACUGUUUCGGCUAGGGGGCCAUCCCGGCUUACCAACCCGAUGCAAACUACGAAUACCGAAGAAUGUUAUCACGGGAGACACACGGCGGGUGCUAACGUCCGUCGUGAAGAGGGAAACAACCCAGACCGCCAGCUAAGGUCCCAAAGUCAUGGUUAAGUGGGAAACGAUGUGGGAAGGCACAGACAGCCAGGAUGUUGGCUUAGAAGCAGCCAUCAUUUAAAGAAAGCGUAAUAGCUCACUGGUCGAGUCGGCCUGCGCGGAAGAUGUAACGGGGCUAAACCAUGCACCGAAGCUGCGGCAGCGACACUAUGUGUUGUUGGGUAGGGGAGCGUUCUGUAAGCCGUUGAAGGUGUGCUGUGAGGCAUGCUGGAGGUAUCAGAAGUGCGAAUGCUGACAUAAGUAACGAUAAAGCGGGUGAAAAGCCCGCUCGCCGGAAGACCAAGGGUUCCUGUCCAACGUUAAUCGGGGCAGGGUGAGUCGACCCCUAAGGCGAGGCCGAAAGGCGUAGUCGAUGGGAAACAGGUUAAUAUUCCUGUACUUGGUGUUACUGCGAAGGGGGGACGGAGAAGGCUAUGUCAGCCGGGCGACGGUUGUCCCGGUUUAAGCAUGUAGGCGGAGGUUCCAGGUAAAUCCGGUACCUUGUUAACGCUGAGGUGUGAUGACGAGGCACUACGGUGCUGAAGUGAUAAAUGCCCUGCUUCCAGGAAAAGCCUCUAAGCAUCAGGUAACACGAAAUCGUACCCCAAACCGACACAGGUGGUCAGGUAGAGAAUACCAAGGCGCUUGAGAGAACUCGGGUGAAGGAACUAGGCAAAAUGGUGCCGUAACUUCGGGAGAAGGCACGCUGAUAUGUAGGUGAAGCCCCUGCGGGCGGAGCUGAAAUCAGUCGAAGAUACCAGCUGGCUGCAACUGUUUAUUAAAAACACAGCACUGUGCAAACACGAAAGUGGACGUAUACGGUGUGACGCCUGCCCGGUGCCGGAAGGUUAAUUGAUGGGGUUAGCGGCAACGCGAAGCUCUUGAUCGAAGCCCCGGUAAACGGCGGCCGUAACUAUAACGGUCCUAAGGUAGCGAAAUUCCUUGUCGGGUAAGUUCCGACCUGCACGAAUGGCGUAAUGAUGGCCAGGCUGUCUCCACCCGAGACUCAGUGAAAUUGAACUCGCUGUGAAGAUGCAGUGUACCCGCGGCAAGACGGAAAGACCCCGUGAACCUUUACUAUAGCUUGACACUGAACACUGGUCCUUGAUGUGUAGGAUAGGUGGGAGGCUUUGAAGCGUGGACGCCAGUCUGCGUGGAGCCAACCUUGAAAUACCACCCUUUAAUGGCUGGUGUUCUAACGUAGACCCGUAAUCCGGGUUGCGGACAGUGUCUGGUGGGUAGUUUGACUGGGGCGGUCUCCUCCCAAAGAGUAACGGAGGAGCACGAAGGUUGGCUAAUCCUGGUCGGACAUCAGGAGGUUAGUGCAAUGGCAUAAGCCAGCUUGACUGCGAGCGUGACGGCGCGAGCAGGUGCGAAAGCAGGUCAUAGUGAUCCGGUGGUUCUGAAUGGAAGGGCCAUCGCUCAACGGAUAAAAGGUACUCCGGGGAUAACAGGCUGAUACCGCCCAAGAGUUCAUAUCGACGGCGGUGUUUGGCACCUCGAUGUCGGCUCAUCACAUCCUGGGGCUGAAGUAGGUCCCAAGGGUAUGGCUGUUCGCCAUUUAAAGUGGUACGCGAGCUGGGUUUAGAACGUCGUGAGACAGUUCGGUCCCUAUCUGCCGUGGGCGCUGGAGAAUUGAGGGGGGCUGCUCCUAGUACGAGAGGACCGGAGUGGACGCAUCACUGGUGUUCGGGUUGUCAUGCCAAUGGCACUGCCCGGUAGCUAAAUGCGGAAGAGAUAAGUGCUGAAAGCAUCUAAGCACGAAACUUGCCCCGAGAUGAGUUCUCCCUGAGACUUUAAGUCUCCUGAAGGAACGUUGAAGACGACGACGUUGAUAGGUCGGGUGUGUAAGCGCAGCGAUGCGUUGAGCUAACCGAUACUAAUGAACCGUGAGGCUUAACCUUACAACGCCGAAGGUGUUU
rnacentral:rRNA from 1 species